rnacentral:rRNA from 1 species
GAUGAACGCUGGCGGCGUGCUUAACACAUGCAAGUCGAACGGGAAACCUUUUAUUGAAGCUUCGGCAGAUUUAGCUGGUUUCUAGUGGCGGACGGGUGAGUAACGCGUGGGUAACCUGCCUUAUACAGGGGGAUAACAACCAGAAAUGGUUGCUAAUACCGCAUAAGCGCACAGGACCGCAUGGUCCGGUGUGCAAAACUCCGGUGGCAUAAGAUGGACCCGCGUUGGAGUAGCUAGUUGGCAGGGUAACGGCCUACCAAGGCGACGAUCCAUAGCCGGCCUGAGAGGGUGAGCGGCCACAUUGGGACUGAGACACGGCCCAGACUCCUACGGGAGGCAGCAGUGGGGAAUAUUGCACAAUGGGGGAAACCCUGAUGCAGCGACGCCGCGUGAAGGAAGAAGUAUCUAGGUAUGUAAACUUCUAUAAGCAGGGAAGAUAGUGACGGUACCUGAAGAAGAAGCCCCGGCUAACUACGUG